rnacentral:rRNA from 1 species
CGAACGCUGGCGGCGUGCUUAACACAUGCAAGUCGAACGGAAAGGCCCUGCUUUUGUGGGGUGCUCGAGUGGCGAACGGGUGAGUAACACGUGAGUAACCUGCCCUUGACUUUGGGGUAACUUCAGGAAACUGGGGCUAAUACCGGAUAGGAGCUCCUGCUGCAUGGUGGGGGUUGGAAAGUUUCGGCGGUUGGGGAUGGACUCGCGGCUUAUCAGCUUGUUGGUGGGGUAGUGGCUUACCAAGGCUUUGACGGGUAGCCGGCCUGAGAGGGUGACCGGCCACAUUGGGACUGAGAUACGGCCCAGACUCCUACGGGAGGCAGCAGUGGGGAAUAUUGCACAAUGGGCGGAAGCCUGAUGCAGCAACGCCGCGUGCGGGAUGACGGCCUUCGGGUUGUAAACCGCUUUCGCCUGUGACGAAGCGUGAGUGACGGUAAUGGGUAAAGAAGCACCGGCUAACUACGUG